CGUCUCUCAUCGUGACAACGGCCACCAGCACGGUGACUAGCUAUUUCACGUCAUGUCAACUGCCACCACGUCUGACACCCCGUUAAAUAUUGCUCGUGUUUUAAAUAUACUUACUUAUGUCGCGAGUGAAAUAAAUCCUUGACCAUCAUCGUUAUCAUCGACAUCGAUGGACUCAAAUAACUUAAAUACCGUGCAUUGUACUCCCGCGUGAGAUUAUACUCGGUAGUAACGACACAACGUGCGAUGUCUGAUAAAAAAUAAAAAUAUAAAGUGAACUGAUGGCUCCACUUCAAGUAUGAGCAGCUCUCAGGGAGAUCAUAAAAAGCCCACCUACAUCCUGGGUCCUGGAUCUACACUUACAACUCGUGUCAAGGAUUUUUUUGACAAUUACUUUACAUUUUCAAAACCUAAGUCG